UUGGAUAACUGUGGUAAUUCUAGAGCUAAUACAUGCACUAUAGCUCCGACCCUUUCGCGAGGGGAAGAGCGCGUUUAUCAGUUCGAAGCCAGCCGGGUCGCAAGGCCCGUCUCUUUGGUGACUCUGGAUAACUCUAGCGGAUCGCAUGGCCUUGAGCCGGCGACGCAUCUAUCAAGUGUCUGCCCUAUCAGACUGUCGAUGGUAAGUGCUAUGCUUACCAUGGUGAUAACGGGUAACGGGGAAUCAGGGUUCGAUUCCGGAAUCGAACCCUGAU
rnacentral:rRNA from 1 species